rnacentral:rRNA from 1 species
GACGAACGCUGGCGGCGUGCCUAAUACAUGCAAGUCGAGCGGACUUUCCCUACUCUUGCUUUUUGCAAGUUAGCCGCGGACGUGAGUGUCACACGUGUGCCAUCUGCCUGCCAUUCGGAUAUCAUCCCGGGAAACCGGCGCAUAUCCCGUAUAAUAUCCUCCUUCAUAGUAAGGAUGGUAGAAAUUCGGCGCAAGCUGCUGGUCUCAGAUGUUCUCGCGGCGCAUUUGCAAGGUUGUGAGGUCAAGGCUCACCAAGGCGAGGCUGCGUAGCCGGACGGAGAGGGUGAGCGGCCGGACUGGGACUGAGACAGGGCCCAGACGCAUACGGGAGGCAGCAGGAGGGAAUCGUCCGCAAUGGACGAAAGUCUGACGGAGAAACGCCGCGUGAGCGAAGAGGGUCUUCGGGUCGUAGAGCUCUGUUGUCAGGGAAGAACAAGUACCGUUCGGACAGGGCGGGACCUUGACGGUAACUGGCCAGAAAGCCACGGCUAACUACGUG